GGUUGGCUCGUCCGGGACUACCGCGACGGGCGCUUCCUCCUCGACCGGGCGUCCUGCUGCUCCACCUGCGACAGCGACAUCGUCACGGAUCUCGCCGUCUGCGACCCCGUGUCCCGCCGCUACGUCCUGCUCCCGCCCAUCCCGGAGGACCUCGCCGCCAGCGCCGACAACCCGCUCGGCGUCCUCGGCGGCCGGCGCUGGUGCGAGCCCUUCCUCGCGCCGGCCGACGCCGAGGGGGGCAGGGACGAGGAGGAGCCCUCGUUCGUGGUGAUCUGGAUGGCGCGGUGCCCGAGGAAGGUCGUGGCGCUCGCCUUCUCGUCGCGGGACGGGCGGUGGCGCGCGCUCCCGUCGCCGGACUGCUUCGUCUGGAGGCGCCACCGGUCGCCCUUCUCCUGCCCGGUGCACGCGGUCUGGAACCGGCGGCACUACGCGCACGGCCGCUUCUACUGGGCGGACUGCCUCACCAACCGCUGGCUGGUGCUCGACAUCGGCGCCAUGGAGCUCUCCGUCCAGGAGAUCCCGGCGCCGGCCAGGUUCUGGGAGGAGAACGUCGUCGUCGUGGAGGGCGCGGACGGCGAAGUCGGCGUGUUCGCGCACGACUUCUACCACGCCAACGGCAACGCCAGCCUCAACUACUACACGAUCCCUCACGAAGUCGACGGCGCGGCGAAGUCGUGGCGGCUCGAGAAGACGAUCCCGCUGCCAUGGUCGACGGCGCACGGCCGUCCGUUCUGCAUCCGCGGCGCGGCCAACGGGUGCUUGAUCAUUGAAGUCAACCAAGACUCGCCGCGACCGUUCAUGUCGUCGAGCCACGACAGCCGGGACGUCGAGCUGUUUAAGAUCGACGUCGGGCGCCUCGAGCUGGAGAGAGUCUGCCGGGCGCGGUGCUCCGGCGGUGUCAGCGACGGCUGGUGGCCGUACUUCGGCUUCCCGCCGUUGCUGAGCUUGCCAACUGUUUGA
rnacentral:rRNA from 1 species